GAUGAACGCUGGCGGCGUGCCUAAUACAUGCAAGUCGAGCGAACGGACGAGAAGCUUGCUUCUCUGACGUUAGCGGCGGACGGGUGAGUAACACGUGGAUAACCUACCUAUAAGACUGGGAUAACUUCGGGAAACCGGAGCUAAUACCGGAUAAUAUUUUGAACCGCAUGGUUCAAUAGUGAAAGACGGUCUUGCUGUCACUUAUAGAUGGAUCCGCGCUGCAUUAGCUAGUUGGUAAGGUAACGGCUUACCAAGGCAACGAUGCGUAGCCGACCUGAGAGGGUGAUCGGCCACACUGGAACUGAGACACGGUCCAGACUCCUACGGGAGGCAGCAGUAGGGAAUCUUCCGCAAUGGGCGAAAGCCUGACGGAGCAACGCCGCGUGAGUGAUGAAGGUCUUCGGAUCGUAAAACUCUGUUAUUAGGGAAGAACAUAUGUGUAAGUAACUGUGCACGUCUUGACGGUACCUAAUCAGAAAGCCACGGCUAACUACGUG
rnacentral:rRNA from 1 species